rnacentral:misc_RNA from 1 species
CAGAGAGUGAAAUCUCCCAACCCACUGUGAACUGUACCUAUUUUGCCUCGGCAGGCCUAGUGCCUGCCAAAGGAACCCAAACUCGUUAUAAUAGUCUUCUGAGUAAUGAAAAAGAAAAAUCAAAACUUUUAGCAACGGAUCUCUUGGCUCUAGCAUCGAUGAAGAACGCAGCAAAAUGCGAUAAGUAAUGCGAAUUGCAGAUUUCAGUGAGUCAUCGAGUUUUUGAACGCAUAUUGCGCCUGCUGGUUAUUCCAGCAGGCAUGCCUGUCCGAGCGUUAUUUACAGUACUAAAGACACUAUAUGUGCCUUUUUGUUGGAGAUUAGCUUAGCGGCUACCUCUUAAAUUCAGUAGCGGCGGUUGCUUCUAUUCCCUUGUGAAGUAAUAAUUCACAACGUGGAGGAUUAGUAGCUAGUCUGUACCCCUAAAACCCUCUAGUU